UGCACGCUCUGACUUCCAAAUAUUUGUGGCCCCCUCCCUUCUUUUACAGCUGCACUGCGCUGCAACUUGCCACUGCAGGCUUUUGUGGUCUUUCCCCGAAACCAAGACCUGCCUCUGUCCUCAUCCCCCUCCAAUCCGUCUUCCGCUGCCAAGAGAAAACACAGAUCUGGCCCAUCAAUCCCCUGUUUAAGGAUCUCUGUCUCCACAGCACUUACAAGAUCAAGUCAAAAGGCAUCUGUGCGGUGCCAGAAGCCUGAACCACCGUGUCUCUGACUGUUUCACCUCUCCAGCCCUGCUCUGCCACUGCCAACAAAACCAGAGUGAGCAAUUGAUAAAGCAGCCGCUAAUAAAUAAUUAAGCAGUUUUUAUUGUAAUCAACUCAUGACAUGCCUCAGGGAGGAGGAUUUCCAUUCAUCCUUAAGAAAGUUUAAAAAAUGCAGAAAUGAAUGAAGAAGCAAAUUGCCAGCGAUAACUACUAACAUGGGCAACCACUAUUAAACUUUGGAAUAAUGUCCUUCAACACAAAGACAAAAUUGCUUCACCAUCGGGUGGCAACCUCAACAUAUACACAUCCUGGUGUUUUCAAUGGACAGGUUUCCCGCAGAAGGAAAAACCACCUAACAUGUCUGACAAGCGAACUCCAGCAGCUGCUGCUGCCCUGCACUUGUGAUUAAAGCGAGAAAAAGAGAAACCUGCAGGAAUAAUCACAGUGAGAACAUUACACAACAUGGAACAAAAUUACCUUGGUCUAAUGUGGGCUGGUGAAAAUAAAAGCUAUGUGUUAAAGUACUCUGCA
rnacentral:lncRNA from 1 species